rnacentral:rRNA from 1 species
AUUGAACGCUGGCGGCAGGCCUAACACAUGCAAGUCGAGCGGAUGAAGGGAGCUUGCUCCUGGAUUCAGCGGCGGACGGGUGAGUAAUGCCUAGGAAUCUGCCUGGUAGUGGGGGAUAACGUCCGGAAACGGGCGCUAAUACCGCAUACGUCCUGAGGUAGAAAGUGGGGGAUCUUCGGACCUCACGCUAUCAGAUGAGCCUAGGUCGGAUUAGCUAGUUGGUGGGGUAAAGGCCUACCAAGGCGACGAUCCGUAACUGGUCUGAGAGGAUGAUCAGUCAAACUGGAACUGAGACACGGUCCAGACUCCUACGGGAGGCAGCAGUGGGGAAUAUUGGACAAUGGGCGAAAGCCUGAUCCAGCCAUGCCGCGUGUGUGAAGAAGGUCUUCGGAUUGUAAAGCACCUUAAGUUGGGAGGAAGGGCAGUAAGUUAAUACCUUGCUGUUUCGACGUUACCAACAGAAUAAGCACCGGCUAACUUCGUG